CUCCUGAUCUGACACCAUAUUCUCUUUUCCAGGCCGAAGCCCAAUUAAAAAAGAACAGCUUUCUAAUUUUAGGAAUUUAUGAAAAGCACGAAACAAAGUGUCUCAUUCUCCUCCAGCAAAUCUAUUUAUUUCCUUCAUGGCCAGGGGCAAAGGAGGUUUUUUGAACCCAUUUCCCAGCAAAAGGUCGCUUCCCUCGUGAUUCACCGCCGGGUGAGGAAAUUCUGUGCCCGGACUGGUAAAAAUUCUGGGAAAAAAAAAAAAAACAACCUUGUGGUGCUCAAAGCACGUCCCUUAUCCAUUUUAUACAAUAUGUGUCAAUGUUCCAAAGGAUCCCAAUGCUCCAGAGGUGUCUCAGCACUGCCCAUUCCUGGGAAAAGCUCUCCCAGGGACUGCAGGACGAGUCACGCCUGAACAUCAGCGACAUUUUGAGGUUUCUUUUCUUUCUCACCCAAUUCUCGGGAGGCCUGAGGAGCGACUGCAAGGAGAAAUCCUGAGAAAGCCAAGCCUCCCUCUGUUCAGAGGACAUGUGAAUACCACACAAUUCCAUCCCAAGCUCAUGGUGCACAUGAAAUUAAAAGAUUUAACUUGAUAUGAAGAGAAGUUAAAAUAUUUUCUAGAAGGUCUGGAAGGAGGCACACAGGAUUUGUGACAGGAACACAGGAGCAUGAGUGAAAUAAAAUGAAAGGGCAUAGAGAGAGACCUGAAUGUGUUUCACCUCAAUGAUUCUCCAGGAAAACUCUGGAGCAGCUGGAGAGGGAAAUUCAUCCUCCUGCAGAUUCCCCAGGCCAAAUGGGUCUCUUUUGUGUGGACAAUCCCUCAAGAUUUGAGUAUUAUUUCUAUUACUGCUA